GUCCUUGCGGAGGAAAAGACUAUUAAGGGUAACUGCUCCAAUCAGAUAGAAAUGCUGUUUCACGGCCUGCUUUAGAAGCUCAGAGUCCAAGCCAUUCUGACACAUUGUGGUGUAAAAAUAGCUGAGCUGUUGCAGGAUGGAGGUCAUAGUGUAGGCAUCUGUGUCAUCUAUGCUAGAAGAGCGCUUGCGGAAUCCGGUUGGUUUUAAGCCAGAAAUCCCCUGGAGGCUUUCAUACUCGAGCAUUCCUGGCACUGGAGAAGAUAACAACAAGCAAACAACAUUUUAAAAAGGUUUCUUUAUCACAGGCUCUGGAAACCAGUCAUGCUGUUUAAAGUUAAGAAAAUGGCAUGUGUUUGAGAGCCAGAAGGACAACAUCUCAAAGUCUUCAACAUGUUCCUAAACAAAUUAUCUACAAGCAAGCAAGAGGGAUGGAUGACCAAUCCUUGCUUACACAGACAAUUAAGAUAAUCACUUUACGUAAUAGUUGGCGAUCUGUUUUUUUUUAAUUAUAUGGUUUUUACUGUGCAU